rnacentral:rRNA from 1 species
UACGAAGGGGGCUAGCGUUGCUCGGAAUCACUGGGCGUAAAGCGCGCGUAGGUGGCUUCCUAAGUCUUGACGUGAAAGGUCGCGGCCCAACUGCGACAGGGCGCGGGAUACUGGGGAGCUUGAGGGCAGCAGAGGCCGGUGGAAUUCCCGGUGGAGUGGUGAAAUGCGUAGAGAUGUGGAGGAACACCGAUGGCGAAGGCAGCCUCCUGGGCCAGCACUGACGCUCAUGCACGAAAGCGUGGGGAGCAAACAGG